rnacentral:rRNA from 1 species
ACUACGGGUGGCAGCAGUAGGGAAUCUUUCACAAUGGGCGAAAGCCUGAUGGAGCAACGCCGCGUGCAGGAUGAAGGCCUUCGGGUUGUAAACUGCUUUUAUAAGCGAGAAAUAUGAUGGUAACUUAUGAAUAAGGAUCGGCUAACUACGUGCCAGCAGCCGCGGUCAUACGUAGGAGCCGAGCAUUAUCCGGAGUGACUGGGGGUAAAGAGUUGCGUAGGUGGCAUAAUAAGUAGCUAGUGAAAUCUGGUUGCUCAACCAUUCAGACUAUUAGCUAAACUGUUAAGCUCGAGACCGUUAGGGGUAACUGGAAUUUAUAGUGUAGGAGUGAAAUCCGUAGAUAGUAGAAGGAACACCAAUAGCGUAGGCAGGUUACUGGGACGGUUCUGACACUAAGGCACGAAAGCGUAGGGAGCAAACGGGAUUAGAUACCCGAGUAGUC